rnacentral:rRNA from 1 species
GCAGCAGUGGGGAAUUUUCCGCAAUGGGCGAAAGCCUGACGGAGCAAUACCGCGUGAGGGAGGAAGGCUCUUGGGUUGUAAACCUCUUUUCUCAGGGAAGAAAAAAAUGACGGUACCUGAGGAAUAAGCAUCGGCUAACUCCGUGCCAGCAGCCGCGGUAAUAC